UACAGAGGUCUCAAGCGUUGUUCGGAUUCAUUGGGCGUAAAGAGCGUGUAGGCGGCCAGGUAGGUCUGCUGUGAAAACUCGAGGCUCAACCUCGAGACGUCGGCGGAAACCAUCUGGCUAGAGUCCGGAAGAGGAGUGUGGAAUUCCUGGUGUAGCGGUGAAAUGCGCAGAUAUCAGGAAGAACACCUAUGGCGAAGGCAGCACUCUGGGACGGUACUGACGCUGAGACGCGAAAGCGUGGGGAGCGAACAGG
rnacentral:rRNA from 1 species